UGGGGGCGGGUUCUCCUUGAGGUGCUUGUUUGGAGCGGUGCUGCAGUGUUCAAGGCAGAGGUGAGGGUACUGUUAAAUGCGCAGUGCCAGUGAAGGACAGGAGAGGGAAGGGAUGGACAGUAGGCAUGAAUCAAUAUCAGCUGACAGCUGCUGGUGAUCAAAAGAAUCAAGGUCCCUCCUGAGUUGAGGGGGGUUAGGCUGAGGUUGUUGGGUGAAGGGGUACAUGAGCGCAAACGAUAAGAG